rnacentral:rRNA from 1 species
CAGCCGCCGCGGUAAUACGUAGGGUGCGAGCGUUAAUCGGAUUUACUGGGCGUAAAGCGUGCGCAGGAGGCCCGUUAAGACAGGUGUGAAAUCCCUGGGCUCAACCUAGGAAUUGCGCUUGUGACUGGCGGGCUCGAGUACGGUAGAGGGGGGUGGAAUUCCUGGUGUAGCAGUGAAAUGCGUAGCGAUCAGGAGGAACACCGAUGGCGAAGGCAGCCCCCUGGGCCUGUACUGACGCUCAUGCACGAAAGCGUGGGGAGCAAACAGGAUUAGAUACCCGGGUAGUCCACGCCCUAAACGAUGGGUACUAGCCGUUUGGUGCGCGAUAGCGCUGAGUGGCGAAGCUAACGCGUGAAGUACCCCGCCUGGGGAGUACGGCCGCAAGGUUGAAACUUAAAGGAAUUGGCGGG